rnacentral:rRNA from 1 species
GAUGAACGCUAGCUACAGGCUUAACACAUGCAAGUCGCAGGGUAACAUGAGGAAAGCUUGCUUUCCUUGAUGACGACUGGCGCACGGGCGAGUAACGCGUAUCCAACCUUCCCAUAACUACGGGAUAACCCGUUGAAAGACGGCCUAAUACCGUAUGAUAUCGUUUGCUGACAUCAAAUAACGAUUAAAGGUUUAGCGGUUAUGGAUGGGGAUGCGUCUGAUUAGCUUGUUGGCGGGGUAACGGCCCACCAAGGCGACGAUCAGUAGGGGUUCUGAGAGGAAGGUCCCCCACAUUGGAACUGAGACACGGUCCAAACUCCUACGGGAGGCAGCAGUGAGGAAUAUUGGUCAAUGGGCGAGAGCCUGAACCAGCCAAGUAGCGUGCAGGAUGACGGCCCUAUGGGUUGUAAACUGCUUUUAUGUGGGGAUAAAGUGCGUGACGUGUCAUGCAUUGCAGGUACCACAUGAAUAAGGACCGGCUAAUUCCGUG